rnacentral:ncRNA from 1 species
AAAAGUUAUGAUAAUUAUUUUUAAAUUUUAGACAUAUAAAGUUUGAUCCUUGCUUUCAUUCUUCUUGUUAGCUUAUUUUAUAUACUUUAUAUUAUUUAAUAUUUAAUUAGUAGUAAAUUAAUUUAUUUAUAAGGUUAGUCUUGAUGUAGUAAUGUUAAUAGCCCUAAGUCAACCCGUGCCAGCACUUGCGGUUAUACGGGUGGGGUAAAGAAAAAUUUUUGGUAAAAAGAAAUUAGUUUGGUUAUUUUUAUAAAUUUGAAAUGGUUUAUUUUUGGGUAAAAUCAAGAUUAAACUCCUUUUAAUAAGACACAUAUAAAACGAAGGGUUUAAAAUUGGAAAUAUAAACCUGGAUUAGAUACCCAGUUAUUUUCAAUAUAGUAUUUAUUACCUGAGUAGUACAAGGGCUCUAGAAAUUUAAGGGAUUUGGCGGUAUUUUAUUCUUAUUAGAGGAACUUGUCCUGUUAUCGAUAUUACACGAAAAGUUGACUUUCUUUUGUUUCCAGCUUGUAUAUCGCUGUCGUCAGAAAACUUUUAUAGAUUGUGUUUUCUUUUUGUAUAAACUUCUAGACGUCAAGUCAAGGUGCAGCUUAUGGGAAAGGUUGAAUGAUGAGUUACAAUAGUAGUAAUUAUUAUGAAUUGGCCUAUGGAAGUAAGCUAUAAAGGUGGAUUUAUUAGUAAGUUUUUAUUAAGGAGAAAAACUGAUUAUUAGCUCUAAAAUAUGUACACAUCGCCCGUCACUCUCAUAUUAGUUGAGAUAAGUCGUAACAUAGUAGGCGUAUUGGAAAAUGUGCCUGGAUAUAU